AAUGUUUUACUUUUCUGUAAAAUGAUUUACUGGAAAAUAUUUUCUGGUGUUUGAUUGAAUCUGUGUAAAAUAUUUUCGGCUAUUUGGCAGAUUUCCUGGAAAUAUUUUUCGAAAAAAUUGUUUUUACAUAUAUUGAUAUAUAUUAAUAAAUUUUUAUAUUUUAAAUUGUUUUUACAUAUAUUUCAAUGAUUUAUUUACAAUAAUACUCAAUUAUUAAGCCACAAUAUUAAUCGUUAUAAAUUGAAAAAAAUUAAUAUCAAAUAAAUUAUUUGUAAUUGUGUUAAAAAAACAAGUAUUGAAUAAUUAAAAAAAUAAGUUACUGGAAAAUCGAUAAAUAGAAGCAAUUUUCUACCGGAAAUGAAGGAAGGAAUGAAGGAGGGGAUAGAGAGGAGAGCACGGAAAAUGUCUUACGGAAAUUGAAAGAGUAAGACAUUUUCCCUAAAAUGUAACCCAUUUUCCCUUGUUUUGGUGUUCAUUUUCCAAAUGAAAAAUGUUUUCCGCCAAUCAAACGCUGGAAAAGUUGGAAAUGAUUUUCCGUAAAAUCAAUUCAUUCAAUCAAACAGACCC
rnacentral:lncRNA from 1 species